GGCCGCUCCUGGUAAUCACUUGCGCGCCAAAACUUCACGAACUGGGUCUUCUUCUUCCUUUUCGAAGAUGGCCUCGGUUGUCUGUUCAGAUGAGACACAUCGACAGACCCCCUUCCGACACGAAGGACCAGGGGCCUUAUCGAUGAAAAAUUCUUCGGAGCCCUUGCGCCUGCGCCAUUCGCGUUACGUAAUCUAACCAAGAAAACUAGAAGGAGAUCAAAGUUACUACAGUUAUAAUAUACUUGUAUACGAACAAUUUUUAUAUAUAUAUAUAUACACUUACAUAGUUACAUAUACACAUUUAAGAUUCCCCCUUUAAAACUUAAACUUGUUCUUUGUCUCUGCGCACAAGUGUUACUAGUAUUGCAACUCUACUCUACGUGCCAAUGUAAUUUUAAACUUUAAUAGGUUUUACAAAUUGAUAAAAAUAAAAUUAAAUAAAAUAAAAAAAUUUCUAGAAAACCUUUACUCUUCACUGUUCAAAACGGAAAGACAUUACCGAUGCUUCUCGUUUCUAAGCCGAAACUAAGCGGUUGUUCUCUUCGGGUUUUUUCGUUGAACGGAGGGCUGUCUAAACAGUAGCGUAUUGGAGCCCUUUGAAAUAGGGAUCAUCAUCGAUAAAAUGCUCAUAACUUUAAAUUUUAUCAAUGUUUAUGUUUCAAUCUUUCUGACAAUCUAAAGGCCAUAACAAAUAUACGUACAUCUAUGCAUAUAAUUUGACACUUUAAAAGGUUUAUGUUCACGAAAACAAAAAUUAUUACUAUUUUUUAUUCUUGUUAUAAUACUUGUACAAUAAAAUAGGAUCGAUCCUGUAUUACAAACAGUCAUUUGCAUGCAACAAAGGAAAAUAACAAAAAAAUAAAAUAAAAUAAAA